rnacentral:tRNA from 1 species
GGGCCGGUGGUCUAACCUGGUAUGACGUGUCCGUGGCACGGAUGAGACUUCGGGUUCAAAUCCCGACCGGUCCA